rnacentral:rRNA from 1 species
UCAGGACGAACGCUGGCGGCGGGCCUAACACAUGCAAGUCUAAGGAGAAUUUCGGAGCAAUCUGAAAGGACACUGGCGCACGGGUGAGUAACGCGUAGGUAACCUACCUUCUGCUGGGGGAUAACAUCGGGAAACCGGUGCUAAUACCGCAUAAUGCAGCGGUCACGCAUGUGGCAGUUGUUAAAGAAUUUCGGCAGAAGAUGGGCCUGCGUGUCAUUAGUUAGUUGGUAAGGUAACGGCUUACCAAGACGAUGAUGACUAGGGGGUCUGAGAGGAUGAUCCCCCACACUGGAACUGAGACACGGUCCAGACUCCUACGGGAGGCAGCAGUGAGGAAUCUUGCGCAAUGGGGGAAACCCUGACGCAGCCACGCCGCGUGCCAGAUGAAGGCCCUACGGGUCGUAAAUGGCUUUUGGUCGGGAAGAUAAGCCGGGUUUCGACCUGGUGUGACGGUACCGACUGAAUAAGCACCGGCUAACUCCGUGCCAGCAGCCGCGGUAAUACGGAGGGUGCAAGCGUUGUCCGGAAUCAUUGGGUGUAAAGGGUGCGUAGGCGGAUGCCUAAGUCUGGGGUGAAAUCUUGCAGCUUAACUGUAAAAUUGCCUUGGAUACUGGGUGUCUUGAGUACAGAAGAGGAUGGUGGAAUUCGUAGUGUAGCGGUGAAAUGCAUAGAUAUUACGAAGAACACCGGUGGCGAAAGCGGCCAUCUGGUCUGUUACUGACGCUGAGGCACGAAAGCGUGGGGAGCGAACAGGAUUAGAUACCCUGGUAGUCCACGCCGUAAACGAUGUGUGCUAGUUGUUGGCCUGUAUGGGCCAGUGACGUAGUUAACGCGCUAAGCACAC